rnacentral:rRNA from 1 species
GAUGAACGCUGGCGGCGUGCCUAAUACAUGCAAGUCGAGCGAACGGACGAGAAGCUUGCUUCUCUGAUGUUAGCGGCGGACGGGUGAGUAACACGUGGAUAACCUACCUAUAAGACUGGGAUAACUUCGGGAAACCGGAGCUAAUACCGGAUAAUAUUUUGAACCGCAUGGUUCAAAAGUGAAAGACGGUCUUGCUGUCACUUAUAGAUGGAUCCGCGCUGCAUUAGCUAGUUGGUAAGGUAACGGCUUACCAAGGCGACGAUGCAUAGCCGACCUGAGAGGGUGAUCGGCCACACUGGAACUGAGACACGGUCCAGACUCCUACGGGAGGCAGCAGUAGGGAAUCUUCCGCAAUGGGCGUAAGCCUGACGGAGCAACGCCGCGUGAGUGAUGAAGGUCUUCGGAUCGUAAAACUCUGUUAUUAGGGAAGAACAUAUGUGUAAGUAACUGUGCACAUCUUGACGGUACCUAAUCAGAAAGCCACGGCUAACUACGUG